UACGAAGGGGGCUAGCGUUGCUCGGAAUCACUGGGCGUAAAGCGCACGUAGGCGGCUUGUUAAGUCAGGGGUGAAAUCCUGGAGCUCAACUCCAGAACUGCCUUUGAUACUGGCGAGCUUGAGUUCGGGAGAGGUGAGUGGAACUGCGAGUGUAGAGGUGAAAUUCGUAGAUAUUCGCAAGAACACCAGUGGCGAAGGCGGACUCGCUGGCCCGAGUACUGACGCUGAGGUGACGAAGCGGAGGGGAGCCAAACGGGAUUAAGAAAACCCCGUUG
rnacentral:rRNA from 1 species